rnacentral:rRNA from 1 species
GACGAACGCUGGCGGCGUGCUUAACACAUGCAAGUCGAACGGAAAGGCCCUGCUUUUGUGGGGUGCUCGAGUGGCGAACGGGUGAGUAACACGUGAGUAACCUGCCCUUGACUUUGGGAUAACUUCAGGAAACUGGGGCUAAUACCGGAUAGGAGCUCCUGCUGCAUGGUGGGGGUUGGAAAGUUUCGGCGGUUGGGGAUGGACUCGCGGCUUAUCAGCUUGUUGGUGGGGGAGGGGCUUACCAAGGCUUUGGAGGGUAGCCGGCCUGAGAGGGUGACCGGCCACAUUGGGACUGAGAUACGGCCCAGACUCCUACGGGAGGCAGCAGUGGGGAAUAUUGCACAAUGGGCGGAAGCCUGAUGCAGCAACGCCGCGUGCGGGAUGACGGCCUUCGGGUUGUAAACCGCUUUCGCCUGUGACGAAGCGUGAGUGACGGUAAUGGGUAAAGAAGCACCGGCUAACUACGUG